UACGGGAGGCAGCAGUGGGGAAUAUUGCACAAUGGGCGAAAGCCUGAUGCAGCUAUGCCGCGUGUAUGAAGAAGGCCUUAGGGUUGUAAAGUACUUUCAUCGGGGAGGAAAAACAAAACUAAUAAUUUUAUUUCUUGACGUUUACCCGAAAAAGAAGCACCGGCUAACUCCGUGCCAGCAGCCGCGGUAAUACGGAGGGUGCUAGCGUUAAUCAGAAUUACUGGGCGUAAAGAGCACGUAGGUGGUUUUUUUAAGUCAGAUGUUGAAAUCCCUGGGCUUAACCUAGGAACUGCAUUUUGAAACUGAAAUACUAGAAGUAUCGUAGAGGGAGGUAGAAUUCUAGGUGUAGCGGUGAAAUGCGUAGAUAUCUGGAGGAAUACCUGUGGCGAAAGCGGCCUCCUAAACGAAUACUGACACUGAGGGUGCGAAAGCGUGGGGAGCAAACAGGGAUUAGGAUACC
rnacentral:rRNA from 1 species